rnacentral:misc_RNA from 1 species
GAUGAAGAACGUAGCGAAAUGCGAUACUUGGUGUGAAUUGCAGAAUCCCGUGAACCAUCGAGUCUUUGAACGCAAGUUGCGCCCGAAGCCAUUAGGCCGAGGGCACGCCUGCCUGGGCGUCACACGUCGUUGCCCCCCCGUCUACUCCUUCGGGAUUGCGGGGGGCGGAUGAUGGCCUCCCGUGCGCCUCGCCGCGCGGUUGGCAUAAAUGCCAAGUCCUCGGCGACGCACGCCACGACAAUCGGUGGUUGCGAAACCUCGGUUGCCCGUCGUGUGCGGUCGUCGCGCAUCGAGGGCUCGAAAAAAUUGCCGGGUUCCGGCUCGGCUUUCAACGCGACCCCAGGUCAGGCGGGGUUACCCGCUGAAUUUAAGCAUAUCAAUAAGCGGAGGA